rnacentral:rRNA from 1 species
AAUAGAUACCCGGGUAGUCCACGCCGUAAACGAUGAGUGCUGAGUGUUAGAGGGUUUCCGCCCUUUAGUGCUGCAGCUAACGCAUUAAGCACUCCGCCUGGGGAGUACGGCCGCAAGGCUGAAACUCAAAGGAAUUGACGGGGGCCCGCACAAGCGGUGGAGCAUGUGGUUUAAUUCGAAGCAACGCGAAGAACCUUACCAGGUCUUGACAUCCUCUGCCAACCCUAGAGAUAGGGCGUUCCCCUUCGGGGGACAGAGUGACAGGUGGUGCAUGGUUGUCGUCAGCUCGUGUCGUGAGAUGUUGGGUUAAGUCCCGCAACGAGCGCAACCCUUGAUCUUAGUUGCCAGCAUUCAGUUGGGCACUCUAAGGUGACUGCCGGUGACAAACCGGAGGAAGGUGGGGAUGACGUCAAAUCAUCAUGCCCCUUAUGACCUGGGCUACACACGUGCUACAAUGGAUGGUACAAAGAGCAGCGAACCCGCGAGGGUAAGCCAAUCUCAUAAAAGCCAUCCUCAGUUCGGAUUGUAGGUA